rnacentral:rRNA from 1 species
GACGAACGCUGGCGGCGUGCCUAAUACAUGCAAGUUGAGCGAUGAAGAUUGGUGCUUGCACCAAUUUGAAGAGCAGCGAACGGGUGAGUAACGCGUGGGGAAUCUGCCUUUGAGCGGGGGACAACAUUUGGAAACGAAUGCUAAUACCGCAUAAUAACUUUAAACAUAAGUUUUAAGUUUGAAAGAUGCAAUUGCAUCACUCAAAGAUGAUCCCGCGUUGUAUUAGCUAGUUGGUGAGGUAAAGGCUCACCAAGGCGAUGAUACAUAGCCGACCUGAGAGGGUGAUCGGCCACAUUGGGACUGAGACACGGCCCAAACUCCUACGGGAGGCAGCAGUAGGGAAUCUUCGGCAAUGGGCGAAAGUCUGACCGAGCAACGCCGCGUGAGUGAAGAAGGAUUUCGGAUCGUAAAACUCUGUUGGUAGAGAAGAACGUUGGUGAGAGUGGAAAGCUCAUCAAGUGACGGUAACUACCCAGAAAGGGACGGCUAACUACGUG